rnacentral:rRNA from 1 species
AUUGAACGCUGGCGGCGUGCCUAACACAUGCAAGUCGAGCGGUAGCAGGUGUAGCAAUACAUGCUGACGAGCGGCGAACGGGUGAGUAAUGACUUCGGAAUCUGCCCAUGUAGUGGGGAAUAACCAGCCGAAAGGUUGGCUAAUACCGCAUACGACCCUUGCCGAAAGGCAAUGGUGAAAGCAGGGGAUCGCAAGACCUUGCGCUAUUGGAUGAGCCGAAGUCGGAUUAGCUAGUUGGUAGGGUAACGGCCUACCAAGGCGACGAUCCGUAGCUGGUCUGAGAGGACGACCAGCCACACUGGGACUGAGACACGGCCCAGACUCCGUACGGGA